ACGGCCGCAUCACGUUGAAACACCGGUUCCCGUAAGAUCACCGAAGUUAAGCAACGUCGUACCUGGCCAGUACCUAGAUGCAUGGGAAUACCAGGUGCUGUUAG